UACAUGUGGGGCAAGCGUUGUUCGGAAUUACUGGGCAUAAAGGGUGCGUAGGCGGCUUGCCAAGUCACUGGUGAAAGUUUUCGGCCCAACCGGAAAAUUGCCUGUGAUACUGGCGAACUUGAGUGCGUGAGGGGUGGGGGGAACGAGCAGUGUAGCGGUGAAAUGCGUAGAUAUUGCUCGGAAGGCCGGGGCCGAAGGGGCCCCACUGGUACGCAACUGACGCUGAGGCACGAAAGCGUGGGGAGCAAACAGG
rnacentral:rRNA from 1 species